CGAGGGGCGUGGCCUAGAGGGGCGGGGAGGCGGGGCCACGCCCCCAGGAGGCCGGCGCUUGGCCGCCUUGACCAGUCCGGAGCCGCGCGCGGACGCGAGGUGGGUGGGUCUGCGGAAGCGGGUUCCUCCUCCUUUAAGGUUCGGUGACUCGUGGGCAGCCGGCCGCAGUGUCCGUGCACUUGUUUUCCGCAGAAGGUGAUUAUCGUGGCAACUCCUGUUAGUGCCUUCGCCGGGCACCCAGCACCCGGUCUCUGGCCCUUGGCACUCAGCACCCGGCACCCAGCGCUCAGCCUGCAGAGCACCUGGGCGGUCAAGCAGGACGUCUCCCGCGGGGUCUUGCGCUCUGCCAAAGAGCAGGAGCAGUGACCUUCUCGGUGGCUCUGAGGGGUAUGGGCUACCAUCAGAAAGUACAGUGGGUUCUGCUAAGCUGGCGGUCAAGCAGCAGAGACGUCGUGACACAUGGGGGACUGGAA
rnacentral:lncRNA from 1 species